UACAGAGGUCCCAAGCGUUGUUCGGAUUCACUGGGCGUAAAGGGUGCGUAGGCGGUUGGGUAAGUCUGAUGUGAAAUCUCACAGCUUAACUGUGAAACUGCAUUGGAUACUAUCCGGCUAGAGGAAUGGAGGGGAGACUGGAAUACUUGGUGUAGCAGUGAAAUGCGUAGAUAUCAAGUGGAACACCAGUGGCGAAGGCGAGUCUCUGGACAUUUCCUGACGCUGAGGCACGAAAGCCAGGGGAGCAAACAGG
rnacentral:rRNA from 1 species